AGCUUUUGACAUCCUGAUCGCGGAUUAGAGAGAUCUUUUCCUUCAGUUCGGCUGGAUCAGUGACAGGUGCUGCAUGGCUGUCGUCAGCUCGUGUCGUGAGAUGUUGGGUUAAGUCCCGCAACGAGCGCAACCCUCAUCCUUAGUUGCCACCAUUUAGUUGGGCACUCUAAGGAAACUGCCGGUGAUAAGCCGGAGGAAGGUGGGGAUGACGUCAAGUCCUCAUGGCCCUUACAAGCUGGGCUACACACGUGCUACAAUGGCGAUGACAGUGGGCAGCUACUUCGCAAGAAGAUGCUAAUCUCUAAAAGUCGUCUCAGUUCGGAUUGGACUCUGCAACUCGAGUCCAUGAAGGCGGAAUCGCUAGUAAUCGCGGAUCAGCAUGCCGCGGUGAAUACGUUCCCAGGCC
rnacentral:rRNA from 1 species